GUCCAGCUGACGAGUCUCAAAUAGGACGAAACGAGUGUCCCGGAU
rfam:Schistosoma curassoni strain Dakar, Senegal genome assembly, scaffold: SCTD_scaffold0017639